CAUUUAAACAUAUAUACCAACGAUGCGGAAGCAUCACAUGCAAUUAAACCUGUUAUGGUUUUAGCAAAUGAGAAUUGAUAAAUCAACAGAUAUGAUUGGAAAAUAUACUAUACCUGUAUACUACAAUCAAUACAAACAUAGAUACUGUUAAUGGAUUUGAUACUGUGAUCUAUUACGUUAAAGUUACAAUGGCGACAGUAAAUGUUCCUUCUGUGUCAAAGAAAACAUUAUCAACUAUAUCAGUUUUCGAUAAAAAUACAGUUGACAUAAAAGUCGACCAUUCUUCAAAAAAUGCAACUGUAACAUAUGAUAACCAGACAACAAAAACUGGAACUAAUCAAUUUGCAGAAAAACCUGCAGGAAAGAUAAAAGGAAUGAUAUCGGAUCUUGAACUCAUGUGAUGGACAAAGACUAUACAUGAAUAUGUGUGUUAACAUAAGAUUAAAAUGAAGCCUUUCCGGUUUUUUUCUGCAAUGUGAAUUUGAUUUCUACUUUAGCAUACAUUUCCAUUUUUAUAUUUGUAUUUUCAUGUUAAAUAAGAAAGAAAAUACAACGCUCGAUUUGUUUAUAUCUAAACAUUAGAUCUGUUAUCAAAUUAAACAUGUUGGUAAAUA